rnacentral:rRNA from 1 species
GAUGAACGCUGGCGGCGUGCCUAACACAUGCAAGUCGAGCGAACAGACGAGGAGCUUGCUCCUCUGACGUUAGCGGCGGACGGGUGAGUAACACGUGGAUAACCUACCUAUAAGACUGGGAUAACUUCGGGAAACCGGAUCUAAUACCGGAUAAUAUAUUGAACCGCAUUGUUCAAUAGUGAAAGACGGUUGUGCUGACACUUAUAGAUGGUUCCGCGCCGCAUUAGCUAGUUGGUAAGGUAACGGCUUACCAAGGCGACGAUGCGUAGCCGGCCUGAGAGGGUGAUCGGCCACACUGGAACUGAGACACGGUCCAGACUCCUACGGGAGGCAGCAGUAGGGAAUCUUCCGCAAUGGGCGAAAGCCUGACGGAGCAACGCCGCGUGAGUGAUGAAGGUCUUCGGAUCGUAAAACUCUGUUAUUAGGGAAGAACAAAUGUGUAAGUAACUAUGCACGUCUUGACGGUACCUAAUCAGAAAGCCACGGCUAACUACGUG